GAUGAACGCUAGCGACAGGCUUAACACAUGCAAGUCGAGGGGCAGCACGGUGUAGCAAUACACGGGGUGGCGACCGGCGCACGGGUGAGUAACGCGUAUCCAACCUUCCCCUGUCCACGGGAUAGCCCGUCGAAAGGCGGAUUAAUACCGUAUGAGGUCACACGAUGGCAUCAGACUGUGACGAAAGGUUUAGCGGACAGGGAUGGGGAUGCGUCCGAUUAGGUAGUCGGCGGGGUAACGGCCCACCGAGCCGACGAUCGGUAGGGGUUCUGAGAGGAAGGUCCCCCACAUUGGAACUGAGACACGGUCCAAACUCCUACGGGAGGCAGCAGUGAGGAAUAUUGGUCAAUGGACGUAAGUCUGAACCAGCCAAGUAGCGUGCAGGAUGACGGCCCUAUGGGUUGUAAAACUGCUUUUAUGCGGGGAUAAAAGUGGGGGACGCGUCCCUUUUUGCAGGUACCGCAUGAAUAAGGACCGGCUAAUUCCGUG
rnacentral:rRNA from 1 species